UACAGAGGUGGCAAGCGUUGUUCGGAAUUACUGGGCGUAAAGGGCGCGUAGGCGGCCUUCUAAGUCAGACGUGAAAUCCCCAGGCUUAACUUGGGAACUGCGUCUGAUACUGGGAGGCUUGAGUGCGGGAGAGGGAUGUGGAAUUCCAGGUGUAGCGGUGAAAUGCGUAGAUAUCUGGAGGAACACCGGUGGCGAAGGCGGCAUCCUGGACCGACACUGACGCUGAGGCGCGAAAGCGAGGGGAGCAAACGGG
rnacentral:rRNA from 1 species